rnacentral:rRNA from 1 species
AUAGGGGAGCCGUAGGGAAACCGAGUCUUAACUGGGCGAAUGAGUUGCAGGGUAUAGACCCGAAACCCGGUGAUCUAGCCAUGGGCAGGUUGAAGGUUGGGUAACACUAACUGGAGGACCGAACCGACUAAUGUUGAAAAAUUAGCGGAUGACUUGUGGCUGGGGGUGAAAGGCCAAUCAAACCGGGAGAUAGCUGGUUCUCCCCGAAAGCUAUUUAGGUAGCGCCUCGUGAACUCAUCUUCGGGGGUAGAGCACUGUUUCGACUAGGGGGUCAUCCCGACUUACCAACUCGAUGCAAACUACGAAUACCGAAGAAUGUUAUCACGGGAGACACACGGCGGGUGCUAACGUUCGUCGUGAAGAGGGAAACAACCCAGACCGCCAGCUAAGGUCCCAAAGUCAUAGUUAAGUGGGAAACGAAGUGGGAAGGCUCAGACAGCCAGGAUGUUGGCUUAGAAGCAGCCAUCAUUUAAAGAAAGCGUAAUAGCUCACUGGUCGAGUCGGCCUGCGCGGAAGAUGUAACGGGGCUAAACUAUGCACCGAAGCUGCGGCAGCGAUAUGUAAAUAUUGUUGGGUAGGGGAGCGUUCUGUAAGCCUGUGAAGGUGU